UCCUUGAGGCGAUCAUAGGCCGGCGUCGUCCGCUGCGGCCGGGCGCCGGGAAGCUCCUCGUUCGGGAACGAGAUCGAGAAGC
rnacentral:tRNA from 1 species